rnacentral:rRNA from 1 species
UACGUAGGUGGCAAGCGUUGUCCGGAUUUAUUGGGUUUAAAGGGUGCGUAGGCGGUUUUUUAAGUCAGUGGUGAAAUACUUCAGCUCAACUGGAGAGGUGCCAUUGAUACUGGAAAACUUGAGAACUGAUGAGGUAGGCGGAAUGGACGGUGUAGCGGUGAAAUGCUUAGAUAUUGGGAGGAACACCAAAGGCGAAAGCACUCUGCUGGGCCGCAACUGACACUGAGAGACGAAAGCGAGGGGAGCAAAUGGG